rnacentral:rRNA from 1 species
UACGUAGGGUGCAAGCGUUGUCCGGAAUUAUUGGGCGUAAAGAGCUCGUAGGCGGUCUGUCGCGUCGGCUGUGAAAACCCGGGGCUCAACCCCAAGCCUGCGGUCGAUACGGGCAGGCUCGAGUUCGGUAGGGGAGACUGGAAUUCCUGGUGUAGCGGUGAAAUGCGCAGAUAUCAGGAGGAACACCGGUGGCGAAGGCGGGUCUCUGGGCCGAUACUGACGCUGAGGAGCGAAAGCGUGGGGAGCGAACAGG